CCUACGGGAGGCAGCAGUAGGGAAUAUUGGACAAUGGACGCAAGUCUGAUCCAGCCAUCCCGCGUGAAGGAUUAAGGCCCUAUGGGUUGUAAACUUCUUUUCUUUGGGAAUAAAAAGCGGUAUUCAUAUCGCCUUGAAGGUACCAGAGGAAUAAGCACCGGCUAACUCCGUGCCAGCAGCCGCGGUAAUACGGAGGGUGCAAGCGUUAUCCGGAUUCACUGGGUUUAAAGGGUGCGUAGGUGGCUUUGUAAGUCAGCGGUGAAAGCCUGGAGCUCAACUCCAGAAUUGCCAUUGAUACUGCAGAGCUUGAAUCAAGUUGAGGUGGAUGGAAUAUUACAUGUAGCGGUGAAAUGCUUAGAUAUGUAAUAGAACACCGAUUGCGAAGGCAGUUCACUAAGCUUGUAUUGACACUGAGGCACGAAAGCGUGGGGAUCAAACAGGAUUAGAUACCCUGGUAGUCCACGCCCUAAACGAUGCAAACUCGACAUUAGCGAUAUACAGUUAGUGUCCAAGCGAAAGCGUUAAGUUUGCACCUGGGAAGUACGACCGCAAGUUGAAACUUCAAAGGAAUUGACGGCGNGAGAGNGCGAGGCGACGACGAGGGAGAGG
rnacentral:rRNA from 1 species